rnacentral:lncRNA from 12 species
UGCAUUGGAUCAGAUUUCACCGAGCUCUUUACUGCCUCGACAAAGCUGUUGCCAAGUAAGAGGAAUUUCCCGGGGGGGGGGGGGGGGGGGGGGAGGAAGAAGGGGCUGGUAACUUGUGGCAGUCACUGCAGAUAUCCUAUAUUUUAAAUAGUGCUAAUCCACAAGCAAUUGAACAGUCAUUAAGAAACAGGGCCCAGUGAGUACAAAGAUGGGCAAAGGCGACACACUGGAGACCAUUUGGGUAGUGGGAUGGUGUCCAACAGGGGAAAUUAGUACUCUCUCUUCUCUAAGGACCCCUGGAUGUGUGGUGACUCCUAGGACAGAGAUUUCUCUUUUUUUUUUUUUUUUUUUGAGAUUUCUCAAACCUUUAAUAUUUCCUGGAAAAGAGAAGAGGUUGAGGGGGCUCUGUUUUCAGGGGAAGAACACCUCGCUGUACCAUAUUACCUAUAAUCGACGCCAAGAGAGUCGCAGGAGGAUGGAGGCAUGUGGAUGGCAGAGAACAUCCCUGGAGUCUUGACUCACCUUCCCAUCUUCUUGAGGAGGAGAGCUAAUCAAGAAAGAACCAAGAAGGAUCUACCUGGUGGCAGAUUCUGGAAGAGCUGCAGCAGAGAGGCUGGGCUGCCUUUGGGCCAGCAGGUAAGUGCGGGGACAGCUCCUGCCUGUAGCCUCUGGGCUGUGUGAUUUCCCAAGGAACUUUGUGACACUC